AUUAUCCCUGGUAAUAAGCGAGCCUGUAAAUCAAUAUUGAAUAUGGCGAUAAAAACUCGAGGCAUCCAUGUGAUGGGAUUAUACUUGAGACGGGAAGUAAACUCGUUUUUGCGUUAGAUCUUCCAGACAUUGAAAUCGAAAGUGAAAGUAGGAUGGCAGACGACCUUGGGCCGGGAGGUGUCGCUGUCAACCGCCCUUAGCAACAGACGACAACAACAGCACUUCGACACAUCCUGAAGAUUUUCAACGUAUUUCGUGAAGUCUUGUACCCAUUCAGCAGAAUCAUUCCACGUCAUUUCAUUUCGCCGUGAAGUUCUUCGAUGAGACGACAAUAUACACAUAAGGCAUGUGUGUGCAUAUGAAUCACAUAGUGCUUGGUGACAAAAGAAGCUAAGUUGUGAUGGCCAGCCACGAUAAGGACAGUGGACAUCUGGCCACUUCCAGACGAAAGUCUGAAGACAACAUGGCCCCUUCCAGUGGGCAGCCUGGAGGUCUGGUGGCCCCAUCCAGUGAACAGCCUGAAGGUUGGUUGGCCCCAUCCUGUAAGCAGCCUGAAGGUC
rnacentral:lncRNA from 1 species